CCGCCUCUUCCCUCUGCCCUGGAAGCGGAUGGGCGGCCGAGGGAGGCGGCGCGCCGAGUACGGAGCAGGGGUCGGGGCCGCCCUCGGGCAGGCGGGCGCGGGGGCCGCAGACCCAGCCGGGCUGCUGAGUGCGUCUUGCGGAGACCAGCGUAGCCUGAGCGUGUGAGCGGAGAUCAAGGGACGCGAUGGGACGUGCCUGGCCCACGGUUGGCGGGCUCCAUGCCCUCCCAGCACCCCACAAAGACCUCCUCAGGGUGCAGAAAUAAUCUUCCCAUUCUUUCCAAAUAGUCAGUGAGCAAGUCAGGAGAGACUCAGGGGAAAAAAUGGCUGUGAACACAAAAAAUACGGUGCAACCCUCUUCAUUUAUAUCUGGGGAUACUUGAAGCCCAAAAAGAUGAAGCGCCUCGAUUUGCCCAGGGUCCCAGUACAAGUCAGUGAUAGAUGCAAGCACUGAAAGGGAAGAAAAGGAUUGCGGAAACUAAUACAUCAUCAGCAACGUGUGGACUUCUUACCUGAGGCUUUAUAAACACGUAUUUCGUUUAAUUCUUGAUAUCUAGCCCUUUUUACAACCUGUACUCUCUCUGCCAUGCAGUCAUGUUUAUACAUUUAUCAGCCAAUAAUCAAAAGAGCCUCAUGCUCUCCAGUGGAUUAAUGCCAUUUGUUGCAAUAAGUGGCGGAUGUCCUUGGAAAAUAAAUGGCAGCAAAGUACUGAUGUUGACAAGAUGAGAAAGGGAGUUCCAAAGAAUUGCAGCCCUGAAAAGGUGGGUAGAUAUCAACAAGACAAAAUAAUGCUCCUUAUUAAGGUGGUUCUGAUCUUGCUUCCCAGGAAAGUUAUAGGGACAUAACUGCAAGUCACUGAAUGUGAAUAUUCACAUUUCCGGGGCUACAGCGUGCGGAUAAGAUGGAUGAAAAUUGGGACGGGGGUUAUCAUAUUGUCUGUUCUGAUUGCUGGUUUGUAAUUGGGGCACUAUAAACACCCAGAUACUGAACCAUAAGUGUAUGGCAUAUCCACUCAGGCAUAUUAAAUAAUUUUCAUUUAAUUGUG